GGGCCCAUGGCUCAGUUGGCAGAGCGCAUCCGUGGCACGGAUGAGGUCGUGGGUUCGAAUCCCACUGGGUCCA
rnacentral:tRNA from 1 species